UAGGGAAUCUUUCCACAAUGGACGCAAGUCUGAUGGAGCAACGCCGCGUGAGUGAAGAAGGGUUUCGGCUCGUAAAGCUCUGUUGUUAAAGAAGAACGUGGGUAAGAGUAACUGUUUACCCAGUGACGGUAUUUAACCAGAAAGCCACGGCUAACUACGUGCCAG
rnacentral:rRNA from 1 species